rnacentral:rRNA from 1 species
UACGUAGGGUGCGAGCGUUAAUCGGAAUUACUGGGCGUAAAGCGUGCGCAGGCGGUUCGUUGUGUCCGGUGUGAAAGCCCCGGGCUCAACCUGGGAAUGGCAGUGGAAACUAGGGGACUGGAAUCUGGCAGAGGGGGGUGGAAUGCCGCGUGUAGCAGUGAAAUGCGUAGAGAUGCGGCGGAACACCGAUGGCGAAGGCAGCCCCCUGGGCUGAGAUUGACGCUCAGGCACGAAAGCGUGGGGAGCAAACAGG